rnacentral:rRNA from 1 species
AAAACUUUCAACAACGGAUCUCUUGGCUCUGGCAUCGAUGAAGAACGCAGCGAAAUGCGAUAAGUAAUGCGAAUUGCAGAAUUCAGCGAGUCAUCGAAUCUUUGAACGCACAUUGCGCCCGCCAGCAUUCUGGCGGGCAUGCCUGUCCGAGCGUCAUUU